AGAAGGACUACAAUCAGCCCAUAUAUUUAAAUCUGCAGAAAGUAAGUUAGACUGGUAGGCCAUGAUUAGCCAAACUGAACAGCAUUCAGAAUAAGAUCUAAGCCUGAUAAUCCUGGAGGACUUUUCACCCCCCACCUAUCUUGUGAUUUAUUCAGAGCAACCUCAUCCAGAAUGUCUUCAAGAACCUGGUGCCAGGUGCUGCCUUCCCAGAGUUCCUGCAUGCAGCAGAAGAAGCUCCUUCUCUGUCUGCACCCUCUCGCUCUCUCAGUCUCUACUGGAGUUUGCUUAGUGAUCCUGCUGCCAUCAGUUCUCUCACCCCUGGUCUGAAGCAGUUUCUUCAGCAGCUGCUUUUGUGUAUUGAGAAGAACAUUUUAGAGAGUAAAGAACAGCAGCACAAAGGUAGAGCAACUGAACACGUGCAGCAAUAUGUGCCAUUGCCUCUUAAAGGACACAUCAGGCUGAGAGAGACAAGCUGAAAAGCUGACCAGCUGCAACUAAUAUUA